GGCGAACGCUGGCGGCGUGCUUAACACAUGCAAGUCGAACGGAAAGGCCCUGCUUUUGUGGGGUGCUCGAGUGGCGAACGGGUGAGUAACACGUGAGUAACCUGCCCUUGACUUUGGGAUAACUUCAGGAAACUGGGGCUAAUACCGGAUAGGAGCUCCUGCUGCAUGUUGGGGGUUGGAAAGUUUCGGCGGUUGGGGAUGGACUCGCGGCUUAUCAGCUUGUUGGUGGGGUAGUGGCUUACCAAGGCUUUGACGGGUAGCCGGCCUGAGAGGGUGACCGGCCACAUUGGGACUGAGAGACGGCGCAGACUCCUACGGGAGGCAGCAGUCGGGAAUAUUGCACAAUGGGCGGAAGCCUGAUGCAGCAACGCCGCGUGCGGGAUGCCGGCCUUCGGGUUGUAAACCGAUUUCGCCUGUGACGAAGCGUGAGUGACGGUAAUGGGUAAAGAAGCACCGGCUAACUACGUG
rnacentral:rRNA from 1 species